UCACAUGGUCAUGGCGGCAGCAGUUCAACCAUACAUGUUCGAACCAGAAUCUGAUCCUGAAGGAGGGGAGUCUCCUGCACUACCGAGACUCAGAGAAUUCAGCAAGACGCUUCUGAAUGGUGCACAUGUGGAAAUUGUGCAACAAUGCCAUCAGAGCCUGAGAACUUAUGCUGCCAGGAGGUACCACAGGUUACAAGACGGCUGCAGCAGCUGGAUGAAAGGCCUCCAUGUAUGAUAGGCAAACAGGUUCUAAACCUGGACGGUCUAAAUGUGUUCUCACUGCAGAAUGCAUGCAACAUUUACAGGGCUGACUACGGUCCUUUACAGUUAUGGGGAAUAGAGCAGUGAGUUAUCUGUAAUAACCUACUUACAUUCACUGUUCAUACAACAUAAUAAAGCAAAUAUAGUCUGGCAAAGCCUCUGUAGUAAGAAAUUUUGGCCUUAAAGGUGUUUCCAUUUAAGUGCAGGCUAUAUUCAACCAUUUGCUCUUUUGGUAUGGUCUGUGUAAAGCUGAAAGGAAGAGUCGCUGCUGUAAGCAGAAAGUGAAGGAGAGAUUUAUGGUAGGUGUUUGCACAGCCAUGCUGAGUGUGUAAGUGUGCAGUCCUGCUGUGUGUGUAUGUGCCUUCAUGCUGAGCGCGUGAGCGCAGCCUUGUUGUAUGUGUGUGCGUAUGCCAUGCUGUCUGGAUGUAUGUGUGUGUGUCAAUGCUGUGUAUGUGUGUAACAUGACUGAGUGUGUGUGUGUCCUCGAAGGAGGCUGGGUAGGCCUCUUCUCGACGGCUGGCGCCCUAAGACCUUAUUUACUGUCUUCGGGUCAAUCUUGACUGGAUUCCAUGGGCCUUGGUCAUUAUGGGAUACAGCCUUAUAGAUAUGGUUGACUCUUUGGGUAACUAUGUCGUAAACAAGUUUGCGUACCAUUAAUGGAGAUGUCAUGUCUUGUCUGACCUGUCAGCGAGGUAUAAAAAGUGUUUCCCUGUUUGUAACAUCAGACUGCGUCUGUUAGCAACACGACGUAGGUCUCCGGAUUCGUGAAUAAAGCUCUCUGAGAUUUCUGACUUGA